rnacentral:rRNA from 1 species
GCAUAUCAAUAAGCGGAGGAAAAGAAACCAACAGGGAUUGCCCUAGUAACGGCGAGUGAAGCGGCAACAGCUCAAAUUUGAAAUCUGGCUUUCGGGCCCGAGUUGUAAUUUGUAGAGGAUGAUUUUGAUGCGGUGCCUUCCGAGUUCCCUGGAACGGGACGCCAUAGAGGGUGAGAGCCCCGUCUGGUUGGAUGCCAAAUCUCUGUAAAUCUCCUUCGACGAGUCGAGUAGUUUGGGAAUGCUGCUCUAAAUGGGAGGUAUAUGUCUUCUAAAGCUAAAUACCGGCCAGAGACCGAUAGCGCACAAGUAGAGUGAUCGAAAGAUGAAAAGCACUUUGAAAAGAGAGUUAAAAAGUACGUGAAAUUGUUGAAAGGGAAGCGUUUAUGACCAGACUUGGGCUUGGUUAAUCAUCUGGGGUUCUCUCCAGUGCACUUUUCCAGUCCAGGCCAGCAUCAGUUUUCGCCGGGGGAUAAAGGCUUCGGGAAUGUGGCUCCCCUCGGGGAGUGUUAUAGCCCGUUGUGUAAUACCCUGGUGGGGACUGAGGUUCGCGCUUCUGCAAGGAUGCUGGCGUAAUGGUCAUCAACGACCCGUCUUGAAACACGGACCAAGGAGUCGUCUUCGUAUGCGAGUGUUCGGGUGUCAAACCCCUACGCGUAAUGAAAGUGAACGCAGGUGAGAGCUUCGGCGCAUCAUCGACCGAUCCUGAUGUUCUCGGAUGGAUUUGAGUAAGAGCAUACGGGGCCGGACCCGAAAGAAGGUGAACUAUGCCUGUGUAGGGUGAAGCCAGAGGAAACUUCUGGUGGAGGCUCGCAGCGGUUUCUGACGUGCAAAUCGAUUCGUCAAACAAUGGGCAAUGGGGGCGAAAGACUAAUCGAACCUUCUAGUAGCUGGUUCC